rnacentral:rRNA from 1 species
CGAGCGCACCCUUAUCCUUAUUUGCCAGCACGUAAUGGUGGGAACUCUAAGGAGACUGCCGGUGAUAAACCGGAGGAAGGUGGGGACGACGUCAAGUCAUCAUGGCCCUUACGAGUAGGGCUACACACGUGCUACAAUAGGCGCAUACAAAGGGCUGCAAACCAGCGAUGGUAAGCGAAUCCCAUAAAGUGCGUCGUAGUCCGGAUUGGGGUCUGCAACUCGACCCCAUGAAGUCGGAAUCGCUAGUAAUCGUGAAUCAGAAUGUCACGGUGAAUACGUUCCCGGGCCUUGCACACACCGCCCGU